rnacentral:rRNA from 1 species
AAAGCGUGCGCAGGCGGUUUUGUAAGACAGAUGUGAAAUCCCCGGGCUCAACCUGGGAACUGCAUUAGUGACUGCAUAGCUGGAGUACGGCAGAGGGGGAUGGAAUUCCGCGUGUAGCAGUGAAAUGCGUAGAUAUGCGGAGGAACACCGAUGGCGAAGGCAAUCCCCUGGGCCUGUACUGACGCUCAUGCACGAAAGCGUGGGGAGCAAACAGGAUUAGAUACCCUGGU